AGUGGACGCAUCACUGGUGUUCGGGUUGUCAUGCCAAUGGCACUGCCCGGUAGCUAAAUGCGGAAGAGAUAAGUGCUGAAAGCAUCUAAGCACGAAACUUGCCCCGAGAUGAGUUCUCCCUGACUCCCUGAGAGUCCUGAAGGAACGUUGAAGACGACGACGUUGAUAGGCCGGGUGUGUAAGCGCAGCGAUGCGUUGAGCUAACCGGUACUAAUGA
rnacentral:rRNA from 1 species